GUACACUCCUGCGGGAGGCAGCAGUGGGGAAUAUUGGACAAUGGGCGCAAGCCUGAUCCAGCCAUGCCGCGUGAGUGAUGAAGGCCCUAGGGUUGUAAAGCUCUUUCACCGGUGAAGAUAAUGACGGUAACCGGAGAAGAAGCCCCGGCUAACUUCGUGCCAGCAGCCGCGGUAAUACGAAGGGGGCUAGCGUUGUUCGGAUUUACUGGGCGUAAAGCGCACGUAGGCGGACUAUUAAGUCAGGGGUGAAAUCCCGGGGCUCAACCCCGGAACUGCCUUUGAUACUGGUAGUCUUGAGUUCGAGGGAGGUGAGUGGAAUUCCGAGUGUAGAGGUGAAAUUCGUAGAUAUUCGGAGGAACACCAGUGGCGAAGGCGGCUCACUGGCUCGAUACUGACGCUGAGGUGCGAAAGCGUGGGGAGCAAACAGGAAUAGAUACCCUAGUAGUCCCAU
rnacentral:rRNA from 1 species